GGGACACACUAAAAAGGAUGGGGUGUUAUUAUAAAUGAGACGAAGAGAGUAUUUCAUACUCACUCUGUCCCAGCGAAGUUGAGACAUUUUUUUGAGCACAAUAUUUAAGGAGCUAGUGUUCAGUGAAAAAGUGAAAUGAAAAAAAUAAAAUAAAGAGUUAAGUAUUAAAUUCACCACUAACAUAGAGGCCUCUAUCACGUAUAGAUCUCUAUACUCGACUUUGGUUCAACUAAACCCCCGAAGUCGUUAAUUUGGUGCAAUUACCCCAUCUGCCCAAACGGCUGUUUAACACCGUUAAGUAUUUUAACUUUUUUUUAUUUCAUCGGUGGUGGGACCCACGCUUUCUUCUUCUUCUUCACCAAACUCGCCAGAAACACGCUGAAAACACAUGUUGAAUCUUGAAAUUGCCGGAAACAAGGAAAUGCUCGAUCACCUUCGACUGAUCGCCCACUUUGUGGCAGUAGAUUUCGAGCUUAUUUGAGCUUCUUCUCAAGCUCGGUCAUGGAGUGCUUGAGCUUCGAAGCCUCAAGAACAGCCUCGUCGCGGCGCCAACUCGCUUGGAUCAAGUUGUUGGAGAGCUCCACCACCACGAUCUUCCAGUGCUCCUCCGGGAAAAAUUUUGAAAAAAGAAAAAAAAUUAAAAUCGAGCAAAAACCCAGAUUUACUACCUUUUCUAAUCUUAUGAUUUUUCGAUGCUCUCUCCCAAUUGAUUGUUGAAAUCCAACAUCAUAGCUCCUGCAGAAAUCAAUAUAUUUUUAUCUCUCAAAUCCCACUGCAGCUCUCAUGAAUCAAAACCCCAAAUUUCCCAAAGAUCCAGAUCCCUCGAUUUCGUUGGUGGUUUGAACGGAAAAUCCCAC
rnacentral:lncRNA from 1 species